UCCAUUGGCCGGUGCAAAUCGACAUGAAAAAUGUUUUAGAACACGUUUUUCCGCAAUGGAGGCUGUCGUAAUAGCUCUAGAGGUCUGGAAAAACGACAAGGAUCGAACUUCUAUGUUGGAGGCCUUCAAUUCCUUUUAAUUAAUUAUCUUUGGAUGUACAGUCGAAUGAUCGAUAUAGUUGCACUUGUUUACGUGUGGAACUUAUUUGAGCAUUAAUAUUAUGGCUGCCAUAUCCCAUUUGGGCAGACUCUAGUUUUCUAUGCAUCAAGAUUAUCCAGAGCAAUGGCCUAGCCUUCUUCCUUGGGUCAAACAAAUCUGCAAGAUGAGCAAGUAUAUGCUGCUUUUUAUUUUCCUAAGAAUUCUUUCAAUUAGAGGUGCCCAAGCAACUCUUCAAUCCCCAACAAUUUUAAUGCUUGGAUGGUAAUGUUUUUAGCUAUGCUGGAAAGACCAGUUGCUACGGAAGGGCAACUAAUCCAGAACAAUGCAAAUCUAGUGAAUGGUGAAAAGUAAAGAAGUGUAUAGUUCAUAUUAUGAAUUGAUUAUACACAUGAUUUGGAGAUCCAAAGCUCCUUAAGCUAGAGAACAAGUCUUCUGCUCAAAUGUUUCGGAAGCAUUUUGCAGGGAAAAUUUUAGAGUGCCAUCUUAACUUGUUGAAUGUUAUUUGUCAGGGUGGUUACCUUCCAGAUAUGGAUUUUCAAGUCCAAUACAUAUCAACUUUUAAAGCCACAACUUGAUAUAGCGCUUUUUGAAAUUAUCUUCCCUCUUAUUUGCUUCAAUGAUAAUGAUGAGAUCUCUGGUGUGAAAACCCUCAUGAAUAUGUCAGGAAAGGUUAUGGUGGGUUUCUACCCCUUUUUUGGCAACGCAGAUAUCAUUUUUUAACUGUCCAGAAAAUGUAACUGUUAUUGUAAAAGUUUUUGGAAAAUGUCUAUGAGCGUAGAAAAACUAUAACUAAGCAUUUUGUUAAAUUCAUUUCUUCUAUGUUAUUGGUAUGGCAAAGCUUUCGUUCCUUUCAAUGUAUGGGUUGUUGCAGAUAUUAUAAUUUAUUGAAGAUGUCCCCACUCCAUCCAUUGAUCAAAGAGCUAGUCGGAAACGUGGAAAAGAAAACCUCCAGAGAUUCCUCUCCUUUGUUAGAAAAAAAAUUGCCAGCUAUGAUGGGGCAGCUCAAUGCUACAAACUGAGUACAAAAAACGAUAGAGUGUCAUAUCCCCCAUAUUAUAAUGUAGAGAUUCCACAUAUUAGUGUUAAUAAUAUUCAUCUUAACUAAUGGUCAUUUAUAUCUGACAUUAGUUGAUUGGUUAAAGUUUAAUAUAAAUUAACUGAAUAAUUGAUAUGCUUAUUUUUGACAGGACUGUAGAAGAAUGUUUGAACGCUGGAAUUAAUUAAUACUAAUUUGAUCGAUUAUUAUUAUUAUUUACAUUAAAUAUUAAUCGAUUGAUUAGAUGAAUAUUAAUCAAUUAUUAAAAAAGCAUGGUUAUUAUUAUCAACCGAUGGUGUAUGGUAGCGAUUAAGGGGGACAGCGACCUUUCAAAGGGGUCUCUGCCACCAACAGACGUGGCUGAUGAAUAUGUGACUUUUCAUCCACGGAGGGAAGGAUAAACACCUUCCAGUAGAUAUGGGAAGGAUUACGUGAAAGAAAAGAUAAGAAACAAGAAGUAAGAAAUAAGGAAAAGCCUACGUCCUGCUACAAAUAUACUCAACCCGAUAUUCAAAUUGGUAAGAAUUCUGUGAAAUACAUAUGGUAGAUUAGAGAUGCGUUGUAUGUUAGUCUGUGGCUUGAUAAUAACUGUAUAUUUACAAUGUUGAUAUGUUGCAUAUCUAUGAUCGAUACUGAUAACUUCCUGCCCAUAUGAUUAAUUCAUGUUUAUGUAUCUGAUCUUUGACACUGCUGAGCAUUGGCCGUAGAGGGAGAACUGCUAUAAGGCACCCUCUCGGAUAGAGGGAGAACCGUUAUAAGGCACCCUCUCAGGCAGAGGGAGAACCAUUAUUAAGGCACCCUCACCAAAUGGCUUGAUUAGGGAGAACCGUUCCUAAGGCACCCUAUCCAGACAAUUAGGUUUCUUGUAGUUAUGAUCCAGGACUUUCUGAUUCCUACAUUACAGUGUUGUUUGCAUAAUUGUUUAAGUUUCAUUAUAGUAGUUCUUUAAAUUACAGUUCUUCUGAUUCAUAAAUCAUAGUUAGUUUCUUUCUAUAUCCUAUUUUCCUUUAUUUAUUUUCAUAACUGAUUUAUAAAUGAUAACCAUUCAUAUGUUGUAGUUAGAAGAUUAUCCCCUAACUUGUGUCGCAGGUUAUUUCUACCAAGAAGAUAAGGAGAUUCCCUUCCUAAAACCCUCUUGACAUUACAUACAGGCAGAAAGAUGGUGCUCUUUUAGCCAUUGGGGCCUUAUGUGAUGAGAUGAAGUGGACUGAGCCAUACAAACCUCAACUAGAACAAAUGCUAGUGGAGCAUGUAUUUCCUGUGUUUAAAAGCCAAGUUGGUCAUUUGAGAGCAAAGGUUUGUGUAUUUAUUUUACUCUCCUUAUUGGCUCUGCAAAAUUUAUAUGCAGAAAAAUCUUUGGGCUUCUCUUUAAUCUUUCUGCAUUGUGGAACUUGAGCCUUUUCACUUUUCUGUUAACUCAGUUUCGUUCUUGAAUAAUCCGAAUACAUCUUUUGGUUUGCUAAUUCCUCAGGAU